rnacentral:tRNA from 1 species
GCCGAAGUGGCGGAAUGGUAGACGCAGCGGACUCAAAAUCCGCCGAUUUCUAAUCGUAGGGGUUCAAGUCCCCUCUUCGGUA